UUAGUAGUUGCAUGUUACACUCAAUGUAGAAACAAAUGUCUACUUUAAGGAUUGACUAUUACAAACCAUAGUACUUUUGCGCUUGCCAAAAAAGGACAUAUAGCACAGAUGCACAUUUUGAAAUGAGGCUUUGCAUUGUCGGCAAAUCAUCAAUUUGGACAUUGCAGAUCAAAUCUUUUUGAAAAGUAACAAAUGAGGACAAAUCCAGUCCAAGUGAAGCAUUUCCUUUUCCAAAUACUACACCUCUUUCUCAGUUAAGAAAUUGUGUAUGGAAAGAAAAUGUUACCCCAGAUGCAACUAUCAAAACCUACUUAUCUCUCAAUGAAACACACGUGCAGAAUAAAAGAAUUCAAUCUACAAAUAGAAAGCCACUUUUCGAGUUGACAUAUUGUGAACUUGACCAAAAUAAUGGGAAAGUUGCACGAAGAAGAAGGAAACUUAUUAUAAAUCAGAAGUUAGCAGAAAAAAGUAAUACCAUUGGUG